rnacentral:rRNA from 1 species
CAAGAUGAGAAUGGUGUGAUCAUCCGUAACAAGGCAAGGUUAGUGGCACAAGGGUACUCACAAGUUGAAGGUUUGGACUUUGGUGAGACCUUUGCCCCCGUUGCCCGUCUUGAAUCCAUUCGCAUCUUACUUGCUUAUGCCGCUUUCAAUGGUUUUACAUUACAUCAAAUGGAUGUGAAGAGUGCUUUCCUUAACAGUCCUCUACAAGAAGAAGUAUAUGUAUCACAACCACCUGGGUUCGUUGAUCCCGAUCACAAAGACUAUGUGUAUAAACUUCAUAAGGCUUUGUAUGGCCUCAAACAAGCACCUCGUGCUUGGUAUGAUCAUCUUAAGAAGUUUUAUUCGAUGAUGGUUUUGUGA